GGAAGCAAUCACCCAGAGGACCAAAAGCAACUCUCAGGGAUCCAAAGAACUGGUAUUAAAGUCCAAGUUGACCACUGCUGGUUGAAAGAAUUUCUGCACUCAGAGACAAAGUGGCAACUGUCCAUGGAACAGAUGGACGUCUGCAUCCCCACAAACAGAGGGAAGGAUAUUUUAGCAAGAGCUCCAGCUCAACAAGGAGGCAAAAGACAAUACUAACAGAGGUUGAUGUUCAGGAAAGCAACAUUGGAUUACACCAUGUUUCCAGUGAUGUCAUAAAUUUAUGAAGCUGGGUUUCCUGUGAUUGCUGUAACGAGAAAGCCAAUAUGACAGAAAUACCAAUAACUGAAAUGGAACCACUUUUGCAGCUGCAGAUUUGCCAAGAAUCAACAUGGACCAGGCUUCAGUUUUCAUUCAAACUUAAAGACAACUAUUGGUUCUGCAGUGCAUGUUUGAAUGGGUGUUGAAAAAUAAGUCAAGUUGUUUAAUCAUUAUGUCUUGUGAGCAUUGGAAGUUCCAAAUGAUUCCUUUCUGUUUCCCCCUUAAUGCAGCAGAUUCAGGUACCCGUUCAACCAUUGUCCUCUCUUUUUUCUCUAAGUUGAUUUGGCCUUUGCUCAUCAGAAGGCAUAAAGUCUAUCUGGAGUUAAAGACAAUAAACCGGAAUAAAUUUUUUGACUCACUAUAUGACCUCAAGA